GACGAACGCUGGCGGCGUGCCUAAUACAUGCAAGUUGAGCGCUGAAGGUUGGUACUUGUACCAACUGGAUGAGCAGCGAACGGGUGAGUAACGCGUGGGGAAUCUGCCUUUGAGCGGGGGACAACAUUUGGAAACGAAUGCUAAUACCGCAUAAAAACUUUAAACACAAGUUUUAAGUUUGAAAGAUGCAAUUGCAUCACUCAAAGAUGAUCCCGCGUUGUAUUAGCUAGUUGGUGAGGUAAAGGCUCACCAAGGCGAUGAUACAUAGCCGACCUGAGAGGGGGAUCGGCCACAGUGGGACUGAGACACGGCCCAAACUCCUACGGGAGGCAGCAGUAGGGAAUCUUCGGAAAUGGACGAAAGUCUGACCGAGCAACGCCGCGGGAGGGAAGAAGGGUUUCGGAUCGUAAAACUCUGUUGGUGGAGAAGAACGUUGGUGAGAGUGGAAAGCUCAUCAAGUGACGGUAACUACCCAGAAAGGGACGGCUAACUACGUG
rnacentral:rRNA from 1 species